AUGGGGCUGUCAGAGGAUGCUGCCCUGCCUGCCCUGCAGCCCCCGGCUCGCCCUGCCCGGGGGAGCUGCCGGCCCUCCGAUGGCCCGCGACACGGCUCCUCGCGGGGGCCAGCUCGGCAACUGCCCCUGCUCCCCACCGGGAGCUUCACAGCCUCUCCCCCUUCUCUCCCCUCUCCUGCCCCGAUGGCUUCAGCUUCUCUCUUCUGCAGUCCCUGUACCAAAAAUUUUCCAGUAUUUUUCUAUUUUGGGAUUUUCAGAAAUGCUUUGGGAAGCCAACAUCCCAUCAGCUUUCUAAUCAGUUUGUCAUCAUUUUUGGAAAUUUCCCUGUCUUUCAGCCUCCGUUCAGUGAGUAACUCUGCAGCUGGGCUUCACUGCGUCAGACUCCUGCAAGCGCGAGAGGCCACGGGCCAGAUUCGGCUCCCGCCCGCGUCGGGUGGAAGCGCCCUCGUUUACCGGCGUGCCUCCUGGCACCUAACGCAGCUGCAGCCUGUCCAGGUGUCUCUUGUGCACCUCUGUGCCAAGGCAGAGACCUUCAGUUCACUGCUGAGGAGGAGGCGAAUUUCCCGCAGCGAGGGCAGGCAGAGACAGCCUUGGCCACCGCUGCACAGCACGCAAGAGGACCUCCGCAGUGUCAGCAAGAGAGGUCUUCUCAGCACCUUUCCAAAACAGCGAGUGCUGUUACCAUCACUGUCCCCUCAGCCUCCCGAAUCACUUGCCGGUGCUGAAGGAGGGAAGCAAGCGCUCCCCUUCCAGUCCAGAGCGAUGGUGCUGUGGCGCUACCCCUGCUCUCCCCCAGGUUUCCUCCCCCGUCUGCUCAUGCCUGGAGGCUGCCGCCCUCGGGAGGCGACUGCCCCGCACAAGCCCUCGGACUCGCAAGACGCUGAGUGGCAGCCAGCCACCCGAUCCGGGCAACUGUCCUUGUUCCCAUCAGCUCUUUCACAGCCCAAUGAAGAAGCAACAUCAAUCUCUAACUUUAAAAUACCAAGCCUGAAACUUCACCCAGACACCAGGCUGAGGCACUCUCCAUCCAGCUGCCCCAGACCGCCGCUCUCCCCCGCAGGUCGUGCCAUGUCUCAGCGCUCUCUUUGCUUCCCAGCUAUUCUAUAA
rnacentral:lncRNA from 1 species